rnacentral:lncRNA from 1 species
UGGGUGUAGAGCUGUAUAUAGAGGUGUGGUGGGUGUAGAGCUGUAUAUAGAGGUGUGGUGGGUGUACAGGUGUAUAGAGGUGUGGUGGGUGUACAGGUGUAUAGAGGUGUGGUGGGUGUACAGGUGUAUAGAGGUGUGGUGGGUGUAGAGCUGUAUAUAGAGGUGUGGUGGGUGUGUACAGGUGUAUAGAGGUGUGGUGGGUGUAGAGGUGAAUAUAGAGGUGUGGUGGGUGUAGAGGUGUAUAGAGGUGUGGUGGGUGUAGAGGUGUAUUGUGGUGUGGUGGGUGUACAGGUGUAUAUAGAGGUGUGGUGGGUGUAGAGGUGUAUAGAGGUGUGGUGGGUGUAGAGAGGUAUAUAGUGGUGUGGUGGGUGUAGAGCUGUAUAGAGGUGUGGUGGGUGUAGAGGUGUAUUGUGGUGUGGUGGGUGUAGAGGUGUAUUGUGGUGUGGUGGGUGUAGAGGUGUAUUGUGGUGUGGUGGGUGUAGAGGUGUAUUGUGGUGUGGUGGGUUUAGAGCUGUAUAUAGAGGUGUGGUGGUGUAGAGCUGUAUAUAGAGGUGUGGUGGGUGUAUAGAGGUGUAUAGAGGUGUGGUGGGUGUAGAGCUGUAUAUAGAGGUGUGGUGGGUGUAGAGCUGUAUAUAGAGGUGUGGUGGGUGUAGAGCUGUAUAUAGAGGUGUGGUGUGUGUAUAGAGGUUUGGUGGGUGUAGAGCUGUAUAUAGAGGUGUGGUGGGUGUAGAGGUGUAUUGUGGUGUGGUGGGUGUAGAGGUGUAUUGUGGUGUGGUGGGUGUAGAGGUGUAUUGUGG